rnacentral:rRNA from 1 species
AUUGAACGCUGGCGGCAGGCCUAACACAUGCAAGUCGAACGAGUGGCGGACGGGUGAGUAAUGUCUGGGAAACUGCCUGAUGGAGGGGGAUAACUACUGGAAACGGUAGCUAAUACCGCAUACCAUCAGAUGUGCCCAGAUGGGAUUAGCUGGUUGGUGGGGUAACGGCUACCCAAGGCGACGAUCCCUAGCUGGUCUGAGAGGAUGACCAGCCAACCUGGAACGUAGACAAGGUCCAGACGCCUACGGGAGGGAGCAGGGGGGAAUAUUGCACAAUGGGCGCAAGCCUGAUGCAGCCAAGCCGCGGGGAUGAAGGAGGCCUUCGGGUUGUAAAGUACUUUCAGCGGGGAGGCGUUACCCGCAGAAGAAGCACCGGCUAACUCCGUGCCAGGCGCCGCGGUAAAAC